AUGCACAAUACAUGGAUGUCAGUGUUGUCGUUAUCAGGAAGGUACAAUGCACCAGUCUGUGUUGCUCUUGGUCAACAUUUUACAGAGAGAUCUGUUGUUAUGUUUAGAGCUGUCUUUGCAUGUGUCUUCAUCUCCUUAUGUUAUUUCAAGAUCGGCAUUUGGUAUUUGAUUUGGAUGUAUGGUAUAGGAGCAGGAAUUGGGAAUUCCUGUUUAGAUGGAAAUGGUGUAGUGAUGAUUGGCAGCUAUUUCAAAAGAAUUCGUACAGUUGCUAAUGGUAUUGCUUUGUCAGGAGCUAGUGUUGAAACAUUUGCUAUUCCUCCACUUAUAGAGUUCUUAUUGCAGACAUAUGCAUAUGGACUCCCAGGGACGUACCUUAUCUUGGGGGGUUUAUAUUUAUUUGUAGCUGUUAGUGGGGCCCUCUAUCGUCCACUGAAAUUUUACUCAAGUGAAAGAAAAGCAGGAGAAAACGAUGAAAAGCAUAAACUGCUAAAAGAAGAUCUGAACGAUUCUAUAAGAAAAAGAACAAAUGUUGUUCAGGACACAACAAAUCAAGUUAUUAGCAGAACAUGUGACACUUUAGAAAUCAAAAUUGAUUCAGAAGUGAAUCAAGAGAAAUCUGUCUCAUUUGUUACAAGCAAUGGUUCAAUGGAAAGUUUGGCACGUGUUGUACUAG